AAUUGACGGGGCCCCGCACAAGCGGCGGAGCAUGCGGAUUAAUUCGAUGCAACGCGUAGAACCUUACCUGGGUUUGACAUGGAUCGGGAGUGCUCAGAGAUGGGUGUGCCUCUUUUGGGGUCGGUUCACAGGUGGUGCAUGGCUGUCGUCAGCUCGUGUCGUGAGAUGUUGGGUUAAGUCCCGCAACGAGCGCAACCCUUGUUCACUGUUGCCAGCACGUUAUGGUGGGGACUCAGUGGAGACCGCCGGGGUCAACUCGGAGGAAGGUGGGGAUGACGUCAAGUCAUCAUGCCCCUUAUGUCCAGGGCUUCACGCAUGCUGCAAUGGCUGGUACAGAGAGUGGCGAGCCUGUGAGGGUGAGCGAAUCUCGGAAAGCCGGUCUCAGUUCGGAUUGGGGUCUGCAACUCGACCUCAUGAAGUCGGAGUCGCUAGUAAUCGCAGAUCAGCAACGCUGCGGUGAAUACGUUCCCGGGGCUUGUACACACCGCCCGUCAAGUCAUGAAAGUUGGUAACACCCGAAGCCGGUGGCCUAACCGUUGUGGGGGAGCCGUCGAAGGU
rnacentral:rRNA from 1 species